rnacentral:rRNA from 1 species
AUAUCAUUAAGCGGAGGAAAAGAAAUUAACGAAGAUUGCCUUAGUAGCGGCGAGCGAAGCGGCAAGAGUCCAAGUUUAAAAUCUGGGGCGUUUCGCCUCCGAAUUGUAAUCUAAAGUGCUGAGCAAAAGGGGAUGCCGAAGCAUAAGUGCCAUGGAACUGGCUGUCAAAGAGGGUGAAAAUCCCGUGCUUGGCUUCAGCUGAACCGAAUGCGAGGUUACGAAGAGUCGGGUUGUUUGGGAUUGCAGCCCUAAAUGGGAGAUAAACUUCUUCUAAGACUAAAUAUAGAUGGGAGACCGAUAGCGCACAAGUA